UGACCACACCGGGUUUGAGGUGAGGUCAGAGGAAUUUCAGACUUAAUAGGGAAUCAGGUGCGAUACCUGAGCUGUGCCCGCAACUGUGACAGAGGAGUUCUCACCAGCGCCGCGCUUUUGACGUUUUGGUUUGAAAGGAGGCGUUAAUCCACUGGAAAACCGGGAAGGAGGGUGUGAAUGAUGAUUCUGGAGCCAGGAGACCUGCCUUUAUCUGUACACGGAU
rnacentral:ncRNA from 2 species